rnacentral:rRNA from 1 species
UACGUAGGGUGCAAGCGUUAAUCGGAAUUACUGGGCGUAAAGCGUGCGCAGGCGGUUGUGCAAGACCGAUGUGAAAUCCCCGGGCUUAACCUGGGAAUGGCAUUGGUGACUGCACGGCUAGAGUGUGUCAGAGGGGGGUAGAAUUCCACGUGUAGCAGUGAAAUGCGUAGAUAUGUGGAGGAAUACCGAUGGCGAAGGCAGCCCCCUGGGAUAACACUGACGCUCAUGCACGAAAGCGUGGGGAGCAAACAGGA